rnacentral:lncRNA from 1 species
CACUUGCUCAGGGUUCAGGAGUUGUUAAUCCCGGAUUCAGAUAAUAAUAUCCAAAGGCAAUCAGGGGACAUUGAACCAGCUGGAGCUGAAGGCUCCUCUCUGUGGGCCAUGGAAGGAGGGGCCUCUGCAUUCCUCCGCCUGCCAUAGGCUGGGCCUGCAGCAAGUGCUCAACUACAGUGGGAAGAAUGGCUGAGUGAAGGAGAGACCCUCCCAGACUACAAUGCAAACAAAUAACAAAGAAGGAGGAGGAGAAUCAAUAUGGAUUGGUUCACAGGACCCACAGCAGAGGGACAGCUGGGUCUUUGAGUGAAGAGCUAAACAGUGGUGAUGUCUGAAUGGUCUUGAGUUUUCAGGAGCAUCUUUCGUUCUAAUGAAGCAACCCUUGAUGGGCUCCUGGACAGCUUCAGGGUGGAAGCCGGUC